CAUCUUGAGCUGCCUUCACAUUCUCCGGUCUGCCUCCCCAUGUCUUGAGGCAAGUGUUUUGAAGAGCUCUUGCAUAUGAGAAUGAUACAUGCCAUGGGUUGGGAGCUUGGUUCAUUGCAUUCAAGUUCAAGGUAGCCUCCACUUCAGAUUGCCCACCGGACAAAAACUGACAACAAGAACAAUUCAACAAUUUAGCAACUAAAUCAGUGGCUAGUGUGUGUAUAAAUGUUUAUGUCUGUGCAUGUUUGAGAUAGUUUUCAGUCACAUACCAUGAUUCCAGGAACAGCUGGUGGGACUCUUCGUUGGAGAAGCUUGAGAGUGUAUUCAGCAACCUGCUCUGGUGUGGCCCUGUCCUUGCACUCUGCACCAGGAGUGACCAUGCUGGGUUUGAGGAGGAUACCUUCGAACAUGACAUUGUUCUCGGCAAGGUAGAAGAACACCUCAGCCCAAACUUUCUGAGCCACUUCGAAAUUUCUGUCAAUCCCAUGUUCACCAUCAAGCAAAAUCUCAGGUUCCACAAUGGGGACCAACCCAUUGUCCUG
rnacentral:lncRNA from 1 species